UUGACAACUCUGGGGACUGAAAUAAUCUUCUCCCCAGAACAGGUGCAGCACUAGCAGGAGCAGUGCAAUCUUCCUACACUGCCCCACCAAACACUGACCUGGAUGGACUACCUUUAAAAAUGAGAAGAUAAAUCAGCCUCCAUGUCCAUUCAAUCCUUGGCCUCU
ensembl:misc_RNA